AUGCCGCGUGAGUGAAGAAGGCCUUCGGGUUGUAAAGCUCUUUUGUCAGGGAAGAAACGGUUCUGGCUAAUACCCGGAGCUAAUGACGGUACCUGAAGAAUAAGCACCGGCUAACUACGUGCCAGCAGCCGCGGUAAUACGUAGGGUGCGAGCGUUAAUCGGAAUUACUGGGCGUAAAGCGUGCGCAGGCGGUUGUGCAAGACAGAUGUGAAAUCCCCGGGCUCAACCUGGGAAUUGCAUUUGUGACUGCACGGCUAGAGUGUGUCAGAGGGGGGUAGAAUUCCACGUGUAGCAGUGAAAUGCGUAGAGAUGUGGAGGAAUACCGAUGGCGAAGGCAGCCCCCUGGGAUAACACUGACGCUCAUGCACGAAAGCGUGGGGAGCAAACAGGAUUAGAUACCCUGGUAGUCCACGCCCUAAACGAUGUCAACUAGUUGUCGGGUCUUAAUUGACUUGGUAACGCAGCUAACGCGUGAAGUUGACCGCCUGGGGAGUACGGUCGCAAGAUUAAAACUCAAAGGAAUUG
rnacentral:rRNA from 1 species